GUCCACGCCCUAAACGAUGACGACUAGUUGUUGGAGGAGUUAAAUCCUUCAGUAACGCAGCUAACGCGUGAAGUCGUCCGCCUGGGGAGUACGGUCGCAAGAUUAAAACUCAAAGGAAUUGACGGGGGCCCGCACAAGCGGUGGAUGAUGUGGUUUAAUUCGACGCAACGCGAAAAACCUUACCUACCCUUGACAUGUGAGGAACCCUGCAGAGAUGCAGGGGUGCCCGAAAGGGAACCUCAACACAGGUGCUGCAUGGCUGUCGU
rnacentral:rRNA from 1 species